rnacentral:lncRNA from 1 species
UCUCUGUUCACUGCAACCUCUGCCUCCCUGGCUCAAGUGAUCCUCCCAUCUCAGCCUCCCCAGUAGCUGGGACUACAGGGAGAUCAGUUCUGGAACUACCUUUUAAUAAGAGAGUUUCACAGCAUGUGCUCCAAAAGGAAUUGCAGAGCGAGGCUCCAGGCCGUAGGCAAGCCGCAAGCAGCAGUUUUACCACGAUGACAUGAGGAGAGCUGCAUAAAUACCACCGAUGUCAAGGUCCCCAAGAUCUGGGGGGAGAGGGAGGUCUCCGUCAAGGGUCUAGGGGGCCAUGUGCAGGAGCUGCCAAUAACAAAGAGGCUUCUGUUCUCACUGGCCUGUCCUCCACCCUGGCCCAGAGGCACAGUCAUUCAUUUGACCUUCCUUCUGCUGUGUCUGUGUGAAGACCCCCACUCCAAACUACUUCAAUGGCAAGAGGCGACUGGGAACAGCUGGGAACUGUUGUUAGCUUCUGGCAACAUCCUGGAAUUUCUUCCUUGUGGAUCCUGUGCCCCUGAGCUGCUGGGGGCCCCUGACUUGACCUGGAGUUGAACUUAGCUGAAGGGUCCAGGGCUAGGGGUUGCCUCCUUGUCAGCCCUGAUAGUAGCAUGAAAUUACACAGUCUUUCCAAGAAAGCCGAGGCUGCCUUUCUAGCCAUUCCUGGGGUGGAAAGACUAUCAGAGGCUAUGUUUUCGGCAAAUCCAUUCAUGUUUUCCAAGGGCAGGAUAGUGCAGGAGAGAGUGACCAGAUAAGACACUCGCUUUUGUUCACAAACACCCUGAGGAGGUCCCUUAAGAGAUAGCAAAGCUUCUGGUGGGGAUGAGGCAGAGAAGGUUUGCUUCAGAUAAGAUGCUAGUCGAGGGACAAUUGUUGUUUUCAAGGGAGGAGAUACAAAACAUCCGUUAAUGGGGUUUGUCCAAGGAUGAACUUUUCAUUCACAGAAUUAGAGAAUGGGGAGUUGCAGCAAUUCUACUCUAACUCUUUCUUUUAAAACACAAGCAAAAAGAGGCCAAGAGAGGGGAGGUGACUUUAUCUAGAUCCCACAGCAAGUCAGGAGUAAAGCUCUGUGUAGGGUUGGAUGCUCUGACAUAAAGUCCACUGCUUUUAACUACUAAGUCCCAAUAUUUCACCUCUCCAUCUUGUCAUUUCUCUAUGUCUUUAUUUAUUAACGAGUCCAUCCACCCAUUCAUGCAUUCCUUUAUGUGUUUGCUCAUCAAUGUUUAUUCAGAGUACAGAGAUGACUGACAGUUCCUCAAGGAAUGGAUGAUGUCAUGGAGGAGCCGCCCAUGAAUGUAUAGCAGAGGGACUAGUCAAGCAGCGUGGGAGAGGCAGAGACAGGGCAUUAUCACGGUGAGAUUGAAGAAGGCUUCAUAGGGAGGAUGGCUCUGGAGCUGAGUCUUAAGGUGGAAAAGGAUUGCAUUUGUUGAAUAAGAGGAGAAACGCUUUAGCACCGUACUUUUAGAAGUGGCAUGAAGAAUGAAUUGAAGAAGUGAGACGUUGGCACCAAAGAGAUGAGUUAUAGCAGUUGGUUCAUUCCACAAAUCAGCGAUACAUGCUUCAUGUCUUCAGAGGCCAUCCAUGGUGUUGGCCACUGUGGGGAUGUCAAGUUGUAAAGACCUGGACCCUUUCCUUAAGGAGCUGAACUUGCCAAAACACAAAUGUGCUCAAAUAACAUAAUGAAACGCAAAAUGAACACAGGACUAGAAACUGUGAGCUCUGGAUUUUAGUCUCGCUCUGGUAUUGAUCUCCAUGGUGUUUUGGGGCCUUGAAUAUUUCCUUACCUGUGAGAUGGUGAGGUUAGGUCUGCCUUCCUGUCCCAGGGAAAAGGCAAAGGCAGUGUCCAUCUCUAGCCUAUUCCUUCUUGGUUGUAUGAUCAUGAGAAGUCAUUUCAUCACACUGGAGCUCAAGUCCUCAUUUUUAAUGUGGGGGGAGUAAAAGCUUGUCCCACGGAGUGUGAGGAUGAUCUAAAACAGCUGCAGGAGAGUACAGAGCAUGCUACCUGGAAGAGAGUCAGCCUCUAACAAAUGCUCAUUCUUUGUCCCACACUCCCAUGGCUCUGUUUUUUCUUGGAAGGGGUGAAUGGAAUCAAGGAUGGUAAUACAUAUGAAAUCUCGUUAAAAUAGGAAGUGCCCUCCAUAAAUGCCAGGGGAAUCCCAUGUAGAUUUCUACAUAGGAGAGUCUGGGGGGGCUCUUAAGGCUGAUCUCUGGGAGGAUCUGUGCCUCUCCUAGUGUCCUGUCUUUCUUCUGGUUCUAAGUCUCUGGACAGGCCUUCCCCAGGAGGGCUCCUUGGUCAAAGGAACUCCUUUCCCAGAAGCAUGCAGAAGGUGACAGGCACAAACACAAAGACAGACUGUCCUUGGCUUUCUGGAGCAGAGAUAGCUUCAGACAUUCUGCCUCACUCUUAUGGGGACCUGUCAGCCCAGUUCUUGGGUCAGAAAAUGGGUUCAUGGUAGGUUAACCUAAGCCACAACCAGUAACGACUACUUUUCUCUAAUGGUUCAUCAAAGCCUUUUGACCCUUCCUUCUCCAUUGCUCUACCAUCCACCUCCACUGUUCCAGCCUUCCUGCAGCUCCCACGUACUGCAUGCCUUCGUCACUUCCUGCUUUGCCUCUGGCGCUAGCGUCCGACUGUUCUUCCCUUCUUCCAGUCCACCUUUCUCACCACAACUAAAAGAACGUUUCUGCUUUGAUCACAUGAUUGCCGUGGAAGUGAAACAUGCAGAGAACCCCAAGGGGUGAGGAGGCUGCAGCCCUUUAUUUGGCUGGACUUUGUCUUGAGAGCUUCUCUGCCCUUGCUUUGCUUUGUUUAUAUAGAAACAGGUAUUUCGUUAUAAUUCCUUUUUUUUUCUGCAGAAAGAUUAAGUGCAAACACUUGGCAUUCAAGGCAACCCCUCAGGGAAUCCAGCUUUUCCAGCUUUCUAUGACAAACUCCUUCAAGUACAUUGUAGUGAUUAAGGGCAUGGACUUUCAAUCCUGACUAUGUUCAAGUCUUACCUCUGCUGCCUAUCAGCUAUGUGAUCUUGGGCAAGUUACUUAACCUCUCUAUGCUUUGACUUCCUUAUCCAUACUUUGGGAAUAAUAAUACUCCAUACCUCACAGGGUUAUUGUGAGGGUUAAAUGAGAUUAUCUAUAUAAAGUUCUUAGAACUUUGCUUAGCACAGUAAGUACUCAAUAAGUUCUAUCCAUUCCAGAAACCUCCACCCUAGCUAAAUUCAUCUCUGUUAACAGCCGCACAUGUGCUUUUGACUUUCCUGCCUCUGUGAUUUCAGCUGCUCCUUUCACCUGCCUGCAAUGAUCCCUCUCUUUCCUUUUGGCUUUAUCCAAGCUCUCCUUGUCCUCUAUUGCUAAGGAAACUCAAGCAAUUUCUCAGGACCUCUAUGGCUAAGGAAACUCAGGUAAUUGUUCAGGAGAACGAGACAGAACUCACCCUGGUUCCUACAGCUGAGUUACUGUGGGAGGUCACCUGGCUUCUCCACAUUUCAGCCUUCCCCUUGGUGAAGUGCAGAUACUUAACACAGACCUUGUGAAGUCAUUGAAAGAAAAAUUCUCAAAUUCUGGCAGAUAGUAGGUAUUUAAUGAAUGAUAGAUAUUAUUAAGCCAAGCUAGUCCUUCCUACCUGAACUUUUCCCUCUGAACUCUUCUAGUAAUUAUUGAUUCCAUCAUUUAUCUGGUCAUUCAUUGACCAUGUAGUACUUUGUAUCACCUCAUCUUUUCUUUCUUUUUGUCCUGCUUGGAAUGAUUACUGUAAUCUUAUGACUGCUUAGUUUUUUAAACAUGCAUAGUAUCCUCCUCACUGCAUUGGGGUUUCCUGGCGGGAAGACCCUGCACAGACAUUUGUAACGUGACCAGAGUUUUAAUGUGCAAUCCCUCCAUGCUAGCAGCUUGGUGAGGUGCUUACAUUUUGUAGGACUUCAUAGGCUUUUUGCUGUGGUAUGUCGGCCUGGUACAGCCCAGGGCUUUGAGGCUGCAGCUCUCUCUUAAGUGUUUAUUUUUUGCACCUUUGCCUUUGGGCGAUGGACUCCCCCACCUAAAGCUUUGGACUUUUCCUGGCUGCCUCAUUGACCAGUUGUGAGGCUGACACCAGCCUGUGAGUCCAGAGCUGGGUCAGAGCAGAUAAGGGCUUGUUCUCAGAACCAGCAUGGUGAUCACUGUGUGUCUUCUCCUUAUUUUCUUCUCUGUGAAAACAUGUGCCUCGUAAUUUGUGUUCUGAGAAAUAUCUCAACGGUCCUGUGCCCUAAACAUUUCCUCAUCUGAGAUAAGGCCUGGAUGUUGGCUCUAAGGAGGGAAAAAGGUACAGUGGAGAGGAAGUUCUGAUCAGCAGGAAGAUUUCCCAAGCAACGACACCGCCUCUGGCAGCAAUGGCCUAGAAACUGGGCUGCCUUGGUGCAGACCGAGACCAAGGCCAUUCCCAAAGGAGAGGCUGACAGCAUUGCCCAGGCAUCCUCUUCCCUGCCAGGCAUGGACCUUCUGAGGGAUGUGGGGGCUACUGCACCUAGAGAGAGGCACUGGAGCCUGAGAAAUCAGUGCUUUGAGGCCUCAGUGGUGGGGCUGGUGGCUGAGGCUGCUACUGGUGGAGUUGACGGGCCCUGGAUAAGACCCAGAGUUCAAGAUUCUGGUCUUGGCCAUCAGUUCCUCACUGUGUGAUCCUGGGCAUGUCACUUAAUCUCUUUGGAACCCAGUUUCUUGCCUAGAAAAUAAGUAUGUCUUAUCAGUGGUUUUAAAUUUUUAAUUAUUUAAAAAAUCAUCAGAAUGCUUUAGAACUUUUUUUUCCAAAAAGAAUUGUAUGCAUAUUCCCAGUUGAUACAACAGAUAAAAAGAACAGUCCUGUAUGGAGGAGUUUGGGCCACCAGGGGCCUGUGCCCAGGUCCUUCCUGUCAUUCCAUGCUGCCAUGCCUGUUCUGUUCCCCGGGACAUGUUCAUGCAAACCUGGCUUCCCCAACACAUUUUAAGCCCUCUGGACUAGCUUUGUCCCCAGCUUUGUGUUCUGGGCCUACCAGUCAGCUUGGCUGAUUUUCCCCAGGUCAGUGGUGAUGGGAGAGCAGUGCUGGUGUGCGGAGAGAGGGCAAAUAUUUCACCAAAGGACCAAGUCCCAGACAAAUCAGAGAGGAUGCUGGUCAGUGUGCAUUGGUUGAAUAUCAGUACCAGUUUUGUGUCAGAAUGAGCUGUGAAAUUUUUAACAAAUACACCCUUCAGGGUCUAUCCAGCUUCACUUGAAUCAAAAUUUGGGGCUAUUAUUUUGAAAAAUAGGAAAUAGGUAUGUGCAGCCCCUCCUCCUAACAAAUAGGCAACCCCAAAUCAAAAUACUAAAACCUUGAUUCUGGAGCUUUGGAUGGGUGGGUGGUCUCCAGGAGGUAUCGUCAGAAUAAAAGGGGUCUUAAGUUAACUUGGAGCAUGGCAAGGGCAAGAAUAACACCAAUAAUAUGAUGAAGUACUUACUCUGGAAUAGGUUCCAUGCUUAACAUACCAUGAAAUAGGUGGAUACUAGUUUCCUAGGGCUGUUUUAACAAAUGACCACAAAGCUUCAUGGCUUAAAAAAUCCCCCAGAAAUUUUUUUGCUUAGAGUCCUGGAGGCCAGAGUACAAACUCAAGGUGCUGGCAGGGCCACACUCACUCUGAUGGCUCUAGAGGGGACUUUGUCUUAGCCUCUUUCAGCUUAGGGAGGUUCCAGGCAUUCUGUGGCUUGUGGCUGGAUAACUCCUACCUCUACCUUCAUCUUUCUUUGCGUGGACUUUUCUUCUUCUCCUGGUGUCUGUCUUUCUGCGGUCAUAAGGACAUUUGUCACUGGAUUUAGAGACAACCUAGAUAAUAUAGGAUGAUCUCAUCUCAAGAACCUUUACAUAAUUACAUCUGCCAAGACCUUUUUAUCAAAUAUGGUCACGUUCAGAGGUCCUAAGGAUUAAGAUGUGGACACAGGUAUUGAGUGAGGGACAGCAUUUAACCCCAACUUGUUAUUAACACCAACUUAAAGAUGAGAAAGCCCAGGUCUAGUCCAUGGAGGUAACCUGCCCAUGGCCACACCGCUGGUGAGUGGCAGAGCUGGGCUGGGACUCACCCUCAGGUCUGCUUUAUGCUUGUCUUCUACAGAGCCUGUCACACAGACGUCCAGGGAGUAUGUGGACCAGGCAGAUGCAGGACAAUCAUUGGUGCCAGCUUGCAAGACUCUGCCUUGCCUACAGAGGGUGCUCAAUGCCUGUCUGUUAGAGAGGUAGUUCUUGAUUCUGAGACCUUGACCAGGACUUCUAGGGCAUAGUGAAUUAAUCUACCUGCCUCUAUAUCUUUAGGAUAGUGCAGGAAAUGUCGGAUAAAUGAAACUGAAUGCCUGGAAGAAGAUAAUGUUCUCAUAUGUCCGUGGACCUUUAUAGGGUCGAUAGCUUAUAGUUAGUGCAUAGAUGCUAUGGAAAAAGGCUGUAUGGGAAGACAGGGAUUCCUCUGAGAGACCCAGGUCCAUGCUUCCCUUCUUGCUCUAGCCACAAUCUGCUUGAGGGACUUCAGAUCCAUCACCCUGCCUCGAUUUCCUAGUAUAUAAAGUGAGGCUACUAAUGGAUUUCACAGGGUGUUUUCAUGUUUUGUUGACAUACAGGGAUCGGUCUGAAGGCAAGGGGAAGUAAAAGAUAGAAUUUCCAAGCUCCUCCUAGCCCUAGGGUUUUAGAAAAAAAAAGUUAAUCAUAUUUUGCACCAGCAGAUGUAAGCACAUAUUGUAACUGUGAGAAUAACAUGAAAUAGAGGACAAUCAUGCUCUUUUACUUGGAUUAGGUCAAGAAACAUUUUGCUUAAACUUCAAUUAGAGAGAUGGAAGUUAGACAAGAAUCCCUUUGUGAUGUCAGCAGAUGUAUUUCAUGGGAAUGGGGGAUGAGACAGACUUCUCAGAGGAGAGUUUGGGAAGGAAGAGGACUGUGGGGUGCAGAGGGCGGGAACGAAGCCUGUUGAAACAUUUUGACAUAAGGAAGACUUUUCAAACCAUUAAAGCUGUGAAACCCAGCAAUAGGUGACUUGGAAAUAUGACAGGGCCUUGCAAUCAACAAAACAGAGGCCAGAUUCUGAAACCAUUGUGUAUUAUUUGAAAGUCAUUCUGCCUCAUAUAUACCUAUUUUUUUACUGAGAUGGAGUUUCGCUUUUGUCGCCCAGGCUGGAGUGCAAUGGUGCGAUCUUGGCUCACUGCAACCUCCGCCUCCCGGGUUCAAGCAAUUCUCCUGUCUCAGUCUCCCAAGUAGCUGGGAUUACAGGCAUGCACCACCACGUUCAGCUAGUUUUUGUAUUUUUAGUAGAGACGGGGUUUCACCAUGUUGGCCAAGCUAGUCUUGAACUCCUGACCUCAGGUUAGCCACUCGCCUCGGCCUUCCAAGGUGCUGGGAUUACAGGCGUGAGCUACUACAUGUGGCCUCUGCCUCAUAUUUAUCCAGCCAGUGUAGACCUGGGAUUUGGAGUCAGACAGAUCUGUGUUAAGUUCGUGCAUUGUCAUUUGCCAAUUUUUGACCUUGUACAAGUUACUUAACCAUCCUGAGCCCCAGGUUCCUUGGCUGUGGUAGUGAUAUAGAGCACCUCUCUCCUGAGGUUGUCUGUAAGGAUUAGAUGAGCCAAGGCAUGGUAUAUAAUGGUACUUGGCAUAUAAGAAGCAUUUAGAAGUUCUGAUAUAUGUGUAGGAAACCCCAUCAUCCUUGUUUAUGCCAUGUGAGCAGUUUGACAAAGCUCUGAGUUGAGGCAGGAGAGUCAUCAUGCUAUUUAAUGACAAAUGCUUUCAGUGUUUCAAAAUGGAGGUAAAUGGAAACUUGAUGUUUUUCUCAAACACCAUUAAGUUGAGGCAAGGCUUGGAGGAGCCUCAGGAAGUUCUCCUUUCCUGUGACUGCGGGUCUCGGGAACGGUGUUGGAAUGCCCCUGCCCGCUGGCUUCCUUCUGCUGCUUUGGGGCCUGUCUGCAGACAGGCCAGAUCCCAGUCAUCUGAAACACCACUCAGAAGGCAGGAAUGUGCAAUCCGUUCCAAGCUGGAAGUGACUUUCAUGUGACAGGCCGCACCACUCUGUGACUCUGUAACUAAUUUUCCCUGCCCUGGAAGCUCUCCAGAUUCCUGGGAUGUGAUCAAUUGAGGAAACCACUUCAGGUCACAUUCAGGAGAGUGCUGUAUCUGGAAUUGGGUGUGAGAGCUCCCAGCAUGUGGAAAAUUCAGACUCCAAGUUUCUUUAUGUUUUUUUCUACUCUUUUCAGGCUGGUCUUGUUAGGUAAGGAACAUGCAAAGAAACCCUCAAAGUUGAAAGAAGUUAAGACAAAAACAAGAGCUGGAAUUCCUUGACUGAAGAGGUCAUUGUACAUGGCAAACAAAUGCUCAGCUUAUCUUUACUUAACUGAAAUAAACGGAACUAAACUGAAUUGCUGUCAACGUGUUUAUGUGAACGCGUCUGGGACAUUUAUCACCGUAAAGGUGGUCUUAUAAAAGGAAUAUUCCUGUGUGAAUCCAGACACUGGCUUCUAGUGUUAGCUGGGUUCCUAACUCACUCUGAAUCUUUGGGCAAGCUGCCUACCUUCUCAGGAAGUCAGUCUCUCUGUCUCUAAAAUUAGUUGGGCUCAGAGUUUCCUUCUCUGUUUACAAUUCUUUGAUGUGUUUUAGAGGGCUGGAAAAUUCACCGCUGAUGGAUCUGUAGUAGGAUUCAUAAAGGUCUCUUAUGUUUGUAUAUUGCUUCAUUAUUUCCUUUGCUAUUUAGAAUCUAUUCAGCUUGACAGGGAAGGUUGUGUUAUCCCAAUAUAUAGAUUAGAAAACUGAGGCCCAGAUAAAUUGAAUGAUGUGGCCAUGACUUUUUGGCUGGUGACUGGAGGAGGUGAGAAUACAACCCGGAUCUCCUGACAUCUAGUCUGGAAUUCUUUCCUCUUGACAUGUAAGGUUGUGAGAAACCAUAUCUGACCAUGUCUGGGCUCCAUCAGAGGCACAAUCUUGUUAACUUGUUUCUUCUGAAUCAUGAUCUGACCUCAGGUAGCUUUUUGUAGGUUCUCAAUUGGAAUUCAGUUUAUAAUAAAAUGUAUUACAUGUUGAUAAUGCAGAUUUCCAAGGUGAGUCUUAUGACAAGGCAUGCGGAGGAAACACGGGUAAGGGAGAAGGAGUUUAGGCCUGAAACCACGCAGACCUGGUGGGCAUCUCUGUUCUACAGUUAACUGGCUGCUCACUUACCUUCAUUUUCACAUCUUUAAAAUGGGCAUUAUAAUAUCUAACUUUUAGGGUCCUCAAUACAUUAAUUCGUUCACUCUCUUCAUCUUAGUCAUUUGAAAACAAUAUUCUACAUUCCUUAUAAAUGAUUUCAUUUAGGAACAUUGAAUGAUAGAAAGAUGAUAGUAAUAUAUUGCUAUGUUAGACAAAUGAUACAAGUAGUAUGUUUUGUAUGAACUUAAUUUGUAUAAAAAUGCACAAAGUACACAAUAAAG